rnacentral:rRNA from 1 species
UACGAAGGGGGCUAGCGUUGCUCGGAAUUACUGGGCGUAAAGCGCACGUAGGCGGUCUUUUAAGUCGGGGGUGAAAUCCUGGAGCUCAACUCCAGGACUGCCUUCGAUACUGGAAGACUCGAGUCCGGGAGAGGUGAGUGGAACUGCGAGUGUAGAGGUGAAAUUCGUAGAUAUUCGCAAGAACACCAGUGGCGAAGGCGGCUCACUGGCCCGGUACUGACGCUGAGGUGCGAAAGCGUGGGGAGCAAACAGG